UCCCCUUCUCAUCCUACCUCAUCGCACGCGCCUCUACAGCCUCUGGAACGACUCCUCCGACCGGUCUUCUUCCUCUUCUUCCCGGACAGCAGCCUCGCCAAGUUCAGAGCUCCCUCUCGUCGCCUCCAGCACGUCUCCGUCGACCCCGUCGUGUCCUAGGGUGAGCUGGGUAACGCUCCUCCCUCUCCCAUACAUCCCCUUGCAUGUAGGCACCUGUAGGACUCGUCCGAUCCAUGUCUUCGCCGCACUCGUAAUGCUCCGGCGAAGUCUGAAUUUUUCCUUGUGUGUGUACUUGCUGCAGCGCGCACGCGCGUUCUCCAGCUUCGGAUCCCCAAGUUGCUCUCUCCCACACACGCACGCACGCCCCUGCAGUGCAGCAGCUCACGCAGUGCUGUUGUAGCCCUGCCUCACCGUGUUUGUCGCCAUGGCCGCAAGCUCCUGCCCACACGCACACCCACACAUGCGCGCACGUUCCCACACCUGCGCCGUUGCACCCGCACUCCCUGGCCUAUCCCGCACCCCCGCCGGUACCCCUUGGCUCCGGUGGUCGUCGCCGUUGCUCGCAGGCACCGCCGGCGACUUCUCUGCUGCAGAUGAGAAGGGACCCGUAUCAACUUCAGGUUGCCUCAACCGAAGCAGAGCCCCUAGGAAACAAACAUCGCGUCCUAGCGCAGCUGGUCGUCGCUCACCCUGUCCACCAGGGAGACCUGGGUUCGAAUCCCAGGCGCGCGCCCCUUUUUAUUUUCUCUGUUGAUAUUUUAGCAGUAGCAGCAGAUAAAAGGAGCCGGAGCCCCUUUGCUAACUGAUCCGCCUACCUAGCCCAGUGGUUGCCGAAGCAGAGCCACACCCCUUUUUAUUUUCUCUGUUGAUAUUUUAGCAGUAGCAGGAGAUAAAAGGAGCCGGAGCCCCUUUGCUAACAGAUCCGCCUACCUAGCCCAGUGGUUGCCGAAGCAGAGCCACACCAGGGAGACCCGGGUUCGAUCCCCCGCGGCUGCAUAUUUCUUCCCCCCCUUUUUCCAUUUCUGUGAGUAUGACAGGGUGGCCCCACCUGUCAUCCUCCUUAGCCCCUGUGUUUUUUUAUUAUUAUUUGUUUUAUUUCUGUUCCCAGAGAAUAUUCCAAUUCUGGCAUGUGGAAUCUGUCCUUUUUGGGCAAGUCCAAUUCUGGACGUUUCCAAUUUUGGAAUAUGCCAUUUCUGUCAUUUACCAUAUAGGGCAGGUCUUAUCUUAAUGCAUUUGUGAUGAUUUUUCUACAGCAACCCUAACAUAUUAUAUAUGUUUUUGGGGUAGAAAAAUCCCACCAAUCCAUUGGUGGCAUUAGUUUCUGCAUUUGAGAAAGUUCAUAAUCAUGCCAUCUCACUUCUUAUUGUUGUUUUGUCUCUUAUGUGCUUGUUCAUGCAAUAUGCUAGUUGUUUGUUUUGCACAUGAGUAGCUUCAUUGUCAUGCCUACUUCAUGCUAGUACUUGUUCCAUGCCAUGACAUGCCUGGUAAUGAGUUGAUCAAGCCUGUAGAGAUGCCAUGAUGAAUCUGUUUUUGCUAUGUCUAGUAAUUUCACUAAGUCUGUAGAACUGUUAUCUCUUGCCAUAUUGCCAUGCUAUUUUAGUCAUGCUCUAGUGGUUUCUAGGUUGAGCUCAGUGUUCAUGUUUUAUAGGGCAUCUCCUGUACAUCACUGUUAUGCAUCUCGUUCAUAUGUUUGGGUGCUAUAGCUCCAAGUGGCCAUGUUGCCGUUUGCAUCCAAGUGGCCAUGUUGCCGUUUGCAUCAUAUCUUGUCUUGCUUGUCUUUUGCAAACCGUGCAUCCGAAUCCGGUGAUCUCUAUAACGAUUCCAACCGAAAUCAUCUCAUCUUUCCAGCGGCAUACUUGGUUUGCCAAGUUGAUGCCUUGUUCAUCAUCUUUCCUUCCGAAGCACGCAUACGCUUUGCAUAUCACCUCUCGCAUAUCAUGACAUGUUUUGCAUCAUGAUGCCUGUGCAUUGCACCGUGAUUUAUUGUGGUUCCUUGCUUGUGUUCUUGUUUUGGGUAGAGCCGGGAGACGAGUACGUGAACGAGGAACCUGUUGAGUACGCUAACGAGGAUCCAGCCUUCGACAACUCUGAGAACCUUGCAGGCAAGAUGACCAUACCUUCGAAAUCAUUUCUAUCUUUGCUUGCUAGUAUUCGCUCUUUCGCUAUGUUAGCCCUGCCUGCCUUUGUUUACCAUGCCUACCUAUUGCCAUGUCAACCCUCUAACCAACCUGUCCUAGCAACCAUUGAUUGGCUAUGUCACCGCUUUUGCUCAGCCCCUCUUAUAGCAUUGUUAGCUGCAGGUGAAGAUGAAGGUUAUUCCAGGUCGGAACGUGGUUACUUUGGGAUAUCACAAUAUCUCAUGUUUAAAUUAAUGCACUUUAUAUACUUGGUAAAGGGUGGAAGGCCUGGCCUUAUGCCCGGUGACUUGUUCCACUCUUGCCGCCCUAGUUCCAUGAUACUGGUGUUAUGUUCCUUGAGUUUGCGUUCCUUACACGGUUGGGUGAUUUAUGGGACCCCCUUAACAGUUCGCUUUGAAUAAAACUCCUCCAGCAAGGCCCAACCUUGGUUUUACCAUUUGCCACCUAAGCCCUUUCCCUUGGGUUUUUGCGAGCCCAAGGGUCAUCUUUAUUACCCCCCGGGCCAGUGCUCCUCUGAGUGUUGGUCCAAACUAGAGCCACUUGCAGCGCCACCUCGGGGAAACUUGAGGACUGGUUCUAGUUGUACGUAGUGUUCAUCCGGUGUGCCCUGAGAACGAGAUAUGUGCAGCUCCUAUCGGGAUUUGUCGGCGCAUCGGGCGGCUUUGCUGGACUUGUUUUACCAUUGUCGAAAUGUUUUGCGAACCGGGAUUCCGAGACUGAUCGGGUCUUCCCGGGAGAAGGUCUAUUCCUUCGUUGACUGUGAGAGCUUGUGAUGGGCUGAGUUGGGACACCCCUGCAGGGUAUAUAAUCUUUCAAAAGCCGUGCCCGCGGUUAUGAGGCAGAUGGGAAUUUGUUAAUGUCCGGUUGUAGAUAACUUGACACUUGACCUCUUUAAAAUGCAUCAACCGUGUGUGUAGCCGUGAUGGUCUCUUCUCGGCGGAGUCCGGGAAGCGAACACGGUUUGUGUUAUGCUUGACGUAAGUAGUUUCAGGAUCACUUCUUGAUCACUUCUAGUUUCUCGACCGAUGCGUUGCUUCUCUUAUCGCUCUCACUUGCGCAUGUUAGCCACCAUAUACGCUUAGUGCUUGCUGUAGCUCCACCAUAUUACCCCUUACCUACCUAUGAGCUUAAAUAGUCUUGAUCUCGCGGGUGUGAGAUUGCUGAGUCCUCGUGACUCACAGAUUCUACCAAAACAGAUGCAGGUGCCGAGGAUACUGGCGCAGAUGGCGCAACUGAGCUGAAGUGGGAAUUUGACGAGGCCCUUGGUCGUUACUAUGUAUCGUUUCCAGAUGAUCAGUAGAGGUGCCCAGUCGGGGCGAUCGGGGAUCUAGCAUUUGGGGUUGUCUUCUUUUCAUUUGAACUUGACUGUAGCCGGUCUAUGAGUGUAUUUGAAUGAUGUAUGAUCUUAAUUAUGUAUUGUGUGAAGUGGCGAUUGUAAGCCAACUCUCUUUAUCCCAUUCUUGUUCAUUACAUGGGAUUGUGUGAAGAUGACCCUUCUUGCGACAAAACCACCAUGCGGUUAUGCCUCUAAGUCGUGCUUCGACACGUGGGAGAUAUAGACGCAUCGUGGGUGUUACAAGUUGGUAAUCAGAGCCAUCCCCGACUUAGGAGCCCCC
rnacentral:lncRNA from 1 species